rnacentral:rRNA from 1 species
AGUGAACGCUGGCGGUAGGCCUAACACAUGCAAGUCGAACGGCAGCACAGGAGAGCUUGCUCUCUAGGUGGCGAGUGGCGGACGGGUGAGGAAUACAUCGGAAUCUGCCCAGUCGUGGGGGAUAACGUAGGGAAACUUACGCUAAUACCGCAUACGACCUUCGGGUGAAAUGAGGGGGAUCGCAAGACCUCUCGCGAUUGGAUGAGCCGAUGUCGGAUUAGCUAGUUAGCGGGGUAAUGGCCCACCAAGGCGACGAUCCGUAGCUGGUCUGAGAGGAUGAUCAGCCACACUGGAACUGAGACACGGUCCAGACUCCUACGGGAGGCAGCAGUGGGGAAUAUUGGACAAUGGGCGCAAGCCUGAUCCAGCCAUACCGCGUGGGUGAAGAAGGCCUUCGGGUUGUAAAGCCCUUUUGUUGGGAAAGAAAUCUUUCAGGCUAAUACCCUGGGAGGAUGACGGUACCCAAAGAAUAAGCACCGGCUAACUUCGUG